UACAGAGGGUGCAAACGUUGCUCGGAUUCACUGGGCGUAAAGGGCACGUAGGCGGGAGAGUAAAUCAGCUGUGGAAUGCCAUCGCUCACCGGUGGAAUUGCAGCUGAAAAUGCUCUUCUUGAGCGCAGGAGGGGUGAGGGGAACUCUAGGUGGAGCGGUGAAAUGCGUAGAUAUCUAGAGGAACGCCGGAGGCGAAAGCGCCUCACUGGCCUGCUGCUGACGCUGAGGUGCGAAAGCCAGGGGAGCAAACGGG
rnacentral:rRNA from 1 species